rnacentral:rRNA from 1 species
UACGGAGGGUGCAAGCGUUAAUCGGAAUUACUGGGCGUAAAGCGUGCGCAGGCGGUUAUAUAAGACAGAUGUGAAAUCCCCGGGCUCAACCUGGGAACUGCAUUUGUGACUGUAUAGCUAGAGUACGGCAGAGGGGGAUGGAAUUCCGCGUGUAGCAGUGAAAUGCGUAGAUAUGCGGAGGAACACCGAUGGCGAAGGCAAUCCCCUGGGCCUGUAAUGAAGCUCAUGAAAGAAAGCGUGGGGAGCACACAGGCGGCGAUAACCCGGUAGUCC